UACGUAGGGUGCAAGCGUUGUCCGGAAUUAUUGGGCGUAAAGAGCUCGUAGGCGGUCUGUCGCGUCGGAUGUGAAAAUCCAGGGCUCAACCCUGGACCUGCAUUCGAUACGGGCAGACUAGAGUUCGGUAGGGGAGACUGGAAUUCCUGGUGUAGCGGUGAAAUGCGCAGAUAUUAGGAGGAACACCGGUGGCGAAGGCGGGUCUCUGGGCCGAAACUGACGCUGAGGAGCGAAAGCGUGGGGAGCAAACAGG
rnacentral:rRNA from 1 species